GAGUGCCUGUGUUUUUCCAUAGAGCUGGCAGUUCCACCUCUGGGAGGAGCCACCUCGUUCCUGCAUGUUUUCCACACCAGCUGGUAACAAAGCUGUCAGUAUUUAGGUCCAGCGUUCUCAGCCAUUCUUCGCCAGAUCUUCAGCUAACCUAACUGCUACGUUCCACCUCUGAAAAUAAUCCUCACCUCAGGAUGCUGGACUUCUCGACAACUUCACAGCUACAGUUCUUGCUCUUUUCACUUGCCUGCCUGCCUCCCUGCUGCAGUAAUUGGAACCACUUGGACCCAACCACUCCACGCUGUUUCUCCACCUGUGGCAAUGACUCUGACCUCCUUGGUUCCCACCUGACUUUCCCUUUGCCUCACAUCACGGGAGCCCAGUCAGAGCAAUGCUCUAAUUAUUCACGUUGUCUGCCUAGCUCCAGUUUUGCUUAGUGUUGUUUAGUAUUUCCCGUUCUUGUCAUAGCUCACGUUGACUUCAUUAUUCAUUCUUCUAGUUAAAAAUCACUCAUUGUAUUGUCUCACUGCGCUGUAAAUAAAUAUUGUUUCACACA